rnacentral:tRNA from 1 species
GGUGGAGUGGCCGAGUGGUGAGGCAGCGGCCUGCAAAGCCGUCCACACGGGUUCGAUUCCCGUCUCCACCUCCA